rnacentral:rRNA from 1 species
AUGCAAAUGUCAAAGACCGAUGAAUUAGAACAAAUCAGUGGGUUAUGCAAAGGAAGAACAUGCCUCCGCACUUUGUUAGCUCCUUCAGGAUCACACAAGGAUUUUAAAGAGUUGCUACAAGUAUCGUCAUCACUAAGAGCAUUGCGUUGUCCCCCUUAUUCAAUUGCCAUUUGCAAGGCCAUAAAUGCAAAACAUUUACGGUAUCUUGACCUCUCUGUGUCUGACAUUGUUACAUUGCCAAAUUCAAUAUGUUUGUUGUAUAACUUGCAAACGCUGAGGCUCGUAUCUUGCAAGGAGCUGCGGAAGUUACCAGAAGACAUGACAGGAUUGAGAAAGCUCAUCAAUCUUUAUCUCUUUGGUUGUGAUAGUCUUAGAAGCAUGUCUCCAAACUUUGGUGUAAUGAACAACCUUCACAUAUUAACAACAUUUGUUGUGGAUACUGGAUAUGGCCUUGGAAUAGAGCAGCUCAAAGACUUGCAACACCUUAGCAGUAGGCUGGAGAUAUUGAAUUUGAGCAAGAUAAAGAGUGCGGAGAAUGCAAAGAAGCCAACCUCAGUCAAAAGCAAAAUUUAG